CUAGGAUGAACGCUGGCGGCGUGCCUAAUACAUGCAAGUCGAGCGAGAACCUUGAAACAGAGGAUCGUCAACGUGGAGUGAGGGGAAAGCGGCGGACGGGUGGAGUAACGCGUAGGCAACCUGCCCUUAGCAGAGGGAUAGCCAUUGGAAACGAUGAUUAAAACCUCAUAACGCUUGAGAGACACAUGUCUUUCGAGCCAAAGAUUUAUCGGCUAGGGAUGGGCCUGCGUCUGAUUAACUAGUUGGUGAGGUAACGGCUCACCAAGGUGACGAUCAGUAGCCGACCUGAGAGGGUGAUCGGCCACAUUGGAACUGAGACACGGUCCAAACUUCUACGGAAGGCAGCAGUAAGGAAUCUUGCACAAUGGGGGGAAAAACCCCUGAUGCAGCAACGCCGCGUGAACGAUGAAGGCCCUAUGGGUUGUAAAGUUCUGAUCUUGGGGAAGAAGAAGUGACGGUACCCAAGGAGAAAGCCCCGGCUAACUACGUGCCAGCCGCCGC
rnacentral:rRNA from 1 species